GUCAUAACAUAUAUCGUUUGACUCCCAGUUUUAGGAAAUGGCAGUGAAUGUCAAGUUUAUAGCUAAUCCUGCAGCUUUAAGGCUUUGGGAACAAAUGUGAUGCUGAAUUUGAUUUUUUCUGUGGUGUGGUGGGGGAGUUUCAGAGGCCCCUUUUAACGGGCAAGCCUAUCCAGUUUGGUUAUAAAACCAGAUUUGUGUAGCGAUUCCUCCGGUGAAUAAAUGUAUUGACCUCAAAUGACACAAUCAUAAUCUAGUUUUAGAUGAAACGCGGGGGGCUGCUGCGAUAAUGUCACCGAACUGCAUUUUCAAGUGGUUUUAUUAAUUCUGUGCUUUUGCAUGCGAAGAGAGAUUUGUUUGGGUUUUUUUUUUUUUUUGGUUGGGUUUUGGUUGUGUUGUUGUUUUUUGUUUUUUUUUUUUUUUUUUUUAAAUGAUCUACGUGUGUCUAUCCCCGUCUCGUGAAGCGGCGGCGGUGGUUGUUGGAAGCCCUUUAAGUUGAAACCGAGUGUCUGGUUAUGGCGAGCUGGUUUCUCGCAGUACCACAUCCCAUCUCCUGUGUGUGAUCCUCGGCUGCUCUGCCUUGCGAUAGACGCCGGAGCAGCUGGGGAUCGCCUUACGGGCAACGCGUUCCUAGGGAUUGACCGGAAUAAUGAGGAAAAUGGCUCAGUACAGUUUUAAAAAUAAUUCAUUAUGAUGGCUCGAAAAUUUGGGCUAAUCCAGCGCAGCCCGGGCUGUAUUUCUGCCUCUCUUUAUUCAGCCGCUUAACCAAUCCCUUGUAAUUGUCUAAUCCUUUAAACAUAUAAAUGUGGAUGGGUAGUUAGAUUUUUGUUCGUGCUCCAGUUACGUUUUGAUUGGCACGGGGCAGUUUUUCUUUUCGUUUGGAAAAACGAAGGGGAUUAUCCAUAUAUGCAGUAGAGAGAAUAAUGAUUUUUAUGUGAACGUUAAAAAAAUUAUACGUGUAUAUAUAUAUGUAUAUUGUCCCCCCCCUCUGCCUCCCCCAAAAUUAUGAAUCCUCGCUUCUGGGUAUGUUUGAUGCGAGGCUUUAAAAGUUGUAGGUUAUAUCGUGUCUUGUCGCCUGCGCCGAUUUCUUUCAGAGAGGGGUGUUCCUGGGCAGGGAGGGUGACCUUCGGGACACUUUCCCUCGCUAUUAUAUAGAUUUGGUAAAAACUGCAGUUGACUCCAGCUGACUGCCCGGUAUCGAUUGCCCGCCCCGCUGAAACGCUGCCCGGGGGUGGUGGUGGAACGAUGUAUGUGUGUUGGGGAGGGGGGGCUGGUGGUGCGCGAUAUUUCAGAGCUGCCUCCCCCUCUCCUUUCCGCCCCCCCCCCCCCUCUCCUACACCCCCUAAAUUUCCGAAUUAAAAUACAUCCGCAUUGCAGAGGAGAGGGGAGCCCGGGGCCGGCGAGUUUAAACUAUGGCAUCGAAACGGGAACGGCGGGUGGAAAGUGUGGCGAAACACGCGAGGCGUCCACGUUUCCCAGGCAGGCAGACAAAAGCGGGGCGGGGGGGACGUGGGGGGGGAGGAAACCGCGGUGUUAAUAAUUAAAGCUGGGGGAGAGGAAAAGGGAGAGAUCGCCCCAAACCUCGGCUCUCCACGGGCUCGCCGAGGCGAACAAUGCGGCGCCGCUCCCGCACCGCCGGGCAGGGGGUGCGAGCGCGGCUCUCGGGGGAGGAAGGCAGGAGGGACGGGGGCGGACAAUGUGCCGCGGUGCUCCCGCGGUCACAACUUCGCGGCGGCGCUUUCAUUUAACCCUUCUCCCCCCUGCUCUCCUUCCCCUCCGCCCCCUCCCCGUUUUCAUUUCUGGCAGGGGGCGGCGGUGCCGGCGGGGCGCGCUGGCGGCGGCAGCAGCAACAGGUUGUGGUGGCUGUGGCGGAGCCCGCGGGCCGCCGGCCACGCCGCCGCCCGGCCAGGUUCGCCCCGCUCCCCGUGACGUCACAAAGGGACGGGCCUGCGCGCCGCGCAAUCCUCGGCGCCCCCCCCCAGCGCUCCGGCUGGCCCCCCCCCGCCGUGACGUCAGAGCCGAGGCGGGGCGGGGGCGGGAGGAGCCCCCCGGGGCAGCUCUCGGCGCCUCCGCGGGGGGGGCGGGGAGGGGGCGGCCCGGGCCAGGUGAGCAGGUGCGGGGCCGCCCUGCCCGCUUCGGGCUGCGAGGUGGGAGGAGAGCGCCGGUCACGUCGCCCCCGUGGCGACACGCGUGGUGGCACGUCGCCUCCUGCCCGUGACCUUCGGGCGCUACGGCAGCCCGGCGGAGUACGGCCGCCGCCGCCGCCUCCUCCUCCUCGCCCGUGCCAGCACAGGCUUCGCCUGUUCCCGGAACAAUGGUCCCGGUGUCGGGCCCUGCUGCCCGCCCCGGGUCCCUGGUGCCCCCAGCGCGGAGGUGAUGCCCCGCCGUGAGGAGCUGCCUGCCCGGCCCCAGCCGCUUUGUGGCCCCGCUCCUCUCAUACCGCUGCGGGUUGUCAUAGAAUCAGAGUCACAGAUCGGUUUGGGGUGGAAGGGUGUACCUUGAAGAAUAUCCAGUUCCAAGCCGCCUGCGGUGGGCAGGGACACCUUCGACUAGACCGUGUUUCUCAGAGCCCCGUCCAACCUGGCUUUAACCUGGUCUUGUGGUAUGGGGAGCAGAGCCUGUUCAGGCUGCUGCUGCCGUUUCUUCUUUUCGGCAUUUGCAAAAUGAAUUCCGAAAACAAGAAGGUGGUGAGAACAAUGGAGUAAAGCCUGUGCGUUGUGGGCUGCCAUCGCGGGCUUGGCUCCCCACUCCGUAAGUGGUCACAAUUGAAAGUUCACUUAAACUUCGGGAGUGUUAUCUUUUGUGACUGGUAACCCAGGAAUGAGGAAAUCCGUGUAGACAUCUUUUUUUCCUGUGAUUUAAAAACGCUAUCACUUAAUUUUUAAAAGAACCAUGGCUGACUCAUACAACUCUUUCUUCUCACUUUACCCUCCUCCUUCUCAAACAUCUUUACAUAUCAAAUAUUGCCUUUUGGCUCAAGCCUCAGAAAACUGACAGCUUUGUAAAGCAUCCGCCGAGAAGCCAGACUGCGUUCAGUAUGCGCUUGGAAUUAAUAGUUCUUAAAUGAAAAGCUUUGAAGUCUUAAGCGUAAUUUCACAGGUGCGUUUUGCUGCCUGGUUUUGUGAUUCUGAAUAGCAAAUCUUCUGGUUUUGCUGGCUUAGGUCUCAGGGUAUCAGGCCUGGUUUACUGCCUUGAAAUACCUGCAUGGUUCUGCCACGGUAGCAGAUGGUAAAAUAUAAUUAAGGAGUAAUGUCAGUACUGUUGCCUCGUGUGAUUCGUUUCCUUGUCCUUGUAGAAGUAAAACUCCUGUAGUCUGCCAUGAGGUGACAUGCUUCACCUACCAAUGGCCUGGUAAGCCCCUCAGACAGAGGGCCCGCAAGGCCCUGCUAGGAUUAGCAUGCUGCAGACAUCUGAGGAGAGCUCCUGUGAGUGCUGCAGCCUUUGUGCUUGGAGCAGGCUCAGGGAGUUUUGGGGGAGAUGGUGACCAUGCAGCACCACCACCUCCUUCUGUGUCAGGGGGAUUUGUGCAGGGGCCUGACGCUGGGCACUCCAGGGCUUCAGCCGGACUCUCCUGCCCUGCUUUUUUUUUUUCUGUGGGAGUUACCUCAUUUCUCUCCUGCAGCCCCACAGCUGACAGCAGGCUUUAAGUCUGACCACUUUCUACAAGAAAUAAUGUAAAUAUGUCGUUGGCAGCAGAGAUGGUAUUCAGUGUACAUUGCAUCUUAUUUCACAUCACCUUCUGGGGCUUUCUUGUGUUAGGUCUCUUAUAGGCUUGCAGUAACAAUUACAGCAGCAUAGCACACUCAAGUCUUUUUUUUCCCCCUUUAUGUAAAACUUAAGGAUGCUAGCUGCACUUGAGAGCUGCGUUUGGGUUUCUCUUAACCUCCUCCUGAUCUCUUGAGACUACAACAUUACGUUAUGCUUUGCCCUGAGAUACUAAUGGACUCCUGCUCACUCUGAUGGACUGCAAGCCAGGAGUCUGUGUAAUAUGCUGUCCAGAGUGAAUUAGAAUGAAUCAAGGCUCCCGUGAAGAGUUUCUAAUGUUCAUUAAGCACUUCCACCUUCUCUUAUGAGGCCUACUAAGCCAGCAUUAAAAACAUAUUACCCCUUC